rnacentral:rRNA from 1 species
UACGGAGGGGCUAGCGUUGUUCGGAAUUACUGGGCGUAAAGCGCGCGUAGGCGGACCUGCAAGUCGGGGGUGAAAGCCCGAGGCUCAACCUCGGAACUGCCUUCGAUACUGCGGGUCUCGAGUCCGGGAGAGGUGAGUGGAAUUCCUAGUGUAGAGGUGAAAUUCGUAGAUAUUAGGAAGAACACCAGUGGCGAAGGCGGCUCACUGGCCCGGUACUGACGCUGAGG